UUUUGGACAAUGGGGGAAACCCUGAUCCAGCAAUGCCGGGUGAGUGAAGAAGGGCUUCGGGUUGUAAAGCUCUUUUGUCAGGGAAGAAACACCGGCUCUAACACAGUCCGGGAAUGACGGUACCUGAAGAAUAAGCACCGGCUAACUACGUGCCAGCAGCCGCGGUAAUACGUAGGGUGCGAGCGUUAAUCGGAAUUACUGGGCGUAAAGCGUGCGCAGGCGGUUAUACAAGACAGGCGUGAAAUCCCCGGGCUUAACCUGGGAAUGGCGCCUGUGACUGUAUAGCUAGAGUGUGUCAGAGGGGGGUAGAAUUCCACGUGUAGCAGUGAAAUGCGUAGAUAUGUGGAGGAAUACCAAUGGCGAAGGCAGCCCCCUGGGACAACACUGACGCUCAUGCACGAGG
rnacentral:rRNA from 1 species